rnacentral:misc_RNA from 1 species
UUUGGUUUGUCACGUGUGGUUGGCUGCGGCGUUUGCAACAACUUCCAUGCUUUCAGACCUCUUCAGUUGUGCGGCAAGGCUUGUAUCGCCUUGNCGUAUUGUGGGUUUUCUGUGUUGUAUACCUAAUCAAUGGUAUCGGUUGGAUUGAUCAAUGUUUNAUUUCGUCUGUCGUNGCAUUNGCGGCGUGAGACGAACCUNGAUGCGGUCUCUUUGGCCCACCUCGUCGAAGCNCAUGCUUUGACGUUGUGGCACAUUGAGCAUUGCUUGGUNUCUUGUAUACGGAACAUAUAGUGGGCAUGGAUCUAACGAUUCUUGUUUGCCCUCAUGUUAGCGUAACGCUUCUCUUACACGACUUGCUCCACGUUUUAG